rnacentral:rRNA from 1 species
AGGACGAACGCUGGCGGCGUGCUUAACACAUGCAAGUGGAGCGACGAACCAGGGCUUGCCCUGGGGCAGAGCCGCGAACGGGUGAGUAACACGUGGGUUACCUGCCUCGAUGACCGGGACAACCCGAGGAAACUCGGGCUAAUACCGGAUGUGCCCGCAAGGGGAAAGGAAGCUUCGGCCUCCGCAUCGAGAUGGGCCCGCGGCCCAUUAGCUUGUUGGUGAGGUAACGGCUCACCAAGGCUUCGAUGGGUAGCUGGUCUGAGAGGACGAUCAGCCACACUGGGACUGAGACACGGCCCAGACUCCUACGGGAGGCAGCAGUGGGGAAUCUUGCGCAAUGCGCGAAAGCGUGACGCAGCAACGCCGCGUGGGGGAAGAAGGCUUUCGGGUUGUAAACCCCUUUCAGUUGGGACGAAGCUUCGCCGGUGAUAGCCGGCCGGAGUGACGGUACCUUCACAAGAAGCACCGGCUAACUACGUGCCAGCAGCCGCGGU